AACGAACGCUGGCGGCAUGCUUAACACAUGCAAGUCGAACGCACGUAGCAAUACGUGAGUGGCAGACGGGUGAGUAACGCGUGGGAACGUACCCUAAGGUUCGGAAUAACGAUUAGAAAUGAUCGCUAAUACCGGAUAAGCUCGAGAGAGGAAAGGUUUACCGCCUUGGGAGCGGCCCGCGUUAGAUUAGGUAGUUGGUGGGGUAAAGGCCUACCAAGCCUACGAUCUAUAGCUGGUCUGAGAGGAUGAUCAGCCACACUGGGACUGAGACACGGCCCAGACUCCACGGGAGGCAGCAGUGGGGAAUAUUGGACAAUGGGGGAAACCCUGAUCCAGCAAUGCCGCGUGAGUGAUGAAGGCCUUCGGGUUGUAAAGCUCUUUUACCUGUGACGAUAAUGACGGUAACAGGAGAAUAAGCCCCGGCUAACUUCGUGCCAGCCGCCGCCGUAA
rnacentral:rRNA from 1 species